GUUCAGGUUCACAUGCUCAAUUCUUUUGAUUAGGUACUGAAAUUCAUCUGGCUAAACUUCCUUGUCUACAAAACAGUGGACUAACUACAGCAAAGGAAAGAGUGGUACCCAUGGAGAGGUACUCUCCAGGUGCCCAGUCUAGGAAGGACCUGAUAUCCAGAGGAGGUUCAGCAGACAGAUACCAGCUGUCAGCGCCUUCAGGGUCUGCUCAGGUGCAGAGAACUGCCUUCUCAGGUUGGGACCAUUACAGGAAUGAAAGAAAUAUCCUAGACAAAGGAAGAACUAUUCCAAAGCCAGCCUCAAGCUGGAAUGUGUUCUAGUUGAUUCCCUUUUCUUGCUUAGCAAGCACUGAGCUUCCUGUUUCUGGUUUGGACCUGAAGCGAAGGUUCCCAAAUACCAACAGGAAGGUCAUACUUGUGGUCUCCCUCCCUUGCUGAAACCCUGCUGAAGCCUGAAGCUCUAGAAUUCCACGUGGGUGUCAUUUUCUCAAGAGACUUCCAGCUGCAGUUCCCAGACCAGAGCUGGGUCCCUGUAUGCUCUUAGAUCUAUGGAUGAUUUACCUUUCCUACAAAAUAUCUAACCAUUCUUCCUCUUUUACUUUUCUGAGAUUCCAUUAUUAUCUUGCCAAGUAUGGGUUCAAUAAUUAAGAAGAGUUCUUGUGGGGAGGGGGUGGGAUUUUUAAACAGAGGAUAGACUCUCAAUAAGUGAGUUGUGUUAGGUUUCUGCAUAAAUGUCCACUUAUACUCAAAUACUGAGUACUUGUGAUAUACUAGUUAUUGUCUUCAAAGAGAGGUGUCCUUUCUAAUUUUGAGAAUCCACUUCUAUGAGCUGUAGAGAGGCAGACUACAGAUGUGUAAAUCAGAUUAUUACAUAAAUUCAUUUGUUCCACACGUUUAUAAAGACCCUGUGCAUACUAAGUAACUGUGGUAGUCACUGGUGUUCCAAAAAGUACUAACACUUUAUCAAGUGCUAACCAUAUUCUAGAUGCUUUUGCAUAUGUGAUCUUAGUUAAUUUUCACAACAAUUCU
rnacentral:lncRNA from 1 species